AGUGAACGCUGGCGGUAGGCCUAACACAUGCAAGUCGAACGGCAGCACAGGAGAGCUUGCUCUCUGGGUAGCGAGUGGCGGACGGGUGAGGAAUACAUCGGAAUCUACUUUUUCGUGGGGGAUAACGUAGGGAAACUUACGCUAAUACCGCAUACGACCUACGGGUGAAAGCAGGGGAUCUUCGGACCUUGCGCGAUUGAAUGAGCCGAUGUCGGAUUAGCUAGUUGGCGGGGUAAAGGCCCACCAAGGCGACGAUCCGUAGCUGGUCUGAGAGGAUGAUCAGCCACACUGGAACUGAGACACGGUCCAGACUCCUACGGGAGGCAGCAGUGGGGAAUAUUGGACAAUGGGCGCAAGCCUGAUCCAGCCAUACCGCGUGGGUGAAGAAGGCCUUCGGGUUGUAAAGCCCUUUUGUUGGGAAAGAAAUCCAGCUGGUUAAUACCCGGUUGGGAUGACGGUACCCAAAGAAUAAGCACCGGCUAACUUCGCGCCAGCAGCCGCCGUAA
rnacentral:rRNA from 1 species